rnacentral:rRNA from 1 species
UCUCUAGGGAGCAUGUGCACGCCUUGUCAUCUUUAUAUCUCCACCUGUGCACUUUUUGUAGACCUUUCAGGUCUAUGUUGCUUCAUUUACCCCAAUGUAUGUUAAUAGAAUGUUGUGCCUAUAUAAUCUAUACAACUUUCAGCAACGGAUCUCUUGGCUCUCGCAUCGAUGAAGAACGCAGCGAAAUGCGAUAAGUAAUGUGAAUUGCAGAAUUCAGUGAAUCAUCGAAUCUUUGAACGCACCUUGCGCUCCUUGGUAUUCCGAGGAGCAUGCCUGUUUGAGUGUCAUUAAUAUAUAUAUCAAACUUCUCUUGUUGAGUGGUUUGGAUGUGGGGGUUUGCUGGCCUCUUAAAGGGUUCAGCUCCUCUGAAAUGCAUUAGCAGAACAACCUGUUCAUUGGUGUGAUAACUAUCUACGCUAUUGAAUGUGAGGGGCAGUUCAGCUUUCUAACAGUCCUUGGACAAUUCAUCAUUAAUGUGACCUCAAAUCAGGUAGGACUACCCGCUGAACUUAAGCAUAUCAAUAAGCGGAGGAAAAGAAACUAACAAGGAUUCCCCUAGUAACUGCGAGUGAAGCGGGAAA